ensembl:snRNA U4 U4 spliceosomal RNA
AGCUUUGCACAGUGACAGUAUUGUAGCCAAUGAGGUUUACCCAAGGUGCGAUUAUUGCUAAUUGAAACUUUUCCCAAUAUCCCGCUAUGACGACUUGAAUAUAAUCAGCGUUGGCAAUUUUUGGCAGUCUCCAUGGAGA